rnacentral:snoRNA from 1 species
CCUAGAGGCAUUGUAGGUGUGGCUGUUGCAUCACACAUGUGUCAGUAGG